rnacentral:rRNA from 1 species
GAUGAACGCUGGCGGCGUGCCUAAUACAUGCAAGUCGAGCGAACAGACGCGGAGCUUGCUCCUCUGACGUUAGCGGCGGACGGGUGAGUAACACGUGUAUAACCUACCUAUAAGACUGGGAUAACUUCGGGAAACCGGAGCUAAUACCGGAUAAUAUAUUGAACCGCAUGGUUCAAUAGUGAAAUACGGUUUUGCUGUCACUUAUAGAUGGAUCCGCGCCGCAUGAGCUAGUUGGUAAGGUAACGGCUUACCAAGGCAACGAUGCGUAGCCGACCUGAGAGGGUGAUCGGCCACACUGGAGCUGAGACACGGUCAAGACUCCUACGGGAGGCAGCAGUAGGGAAUCUUCCGCAAUGGGCGAAAGACUGACGGAGCAACGCCGCGUGAGUGAUGAAGGUCUUCGGAUCGUAAAACUCUGUUAUUAGGGAAGAACAAAUGUGUAAGUAACUAUGCACGUCUUGACGGUACCUAAUCAGAAAGCCACGGCUAACUACGUG